rnacentral:rRNA from 1 species
UACGUAGGUGGCAAGCGUUGUCCGGAAUUAUUGGGCGUAAAGCGCGCGCAGGCGGUCCCUUAAGUCUGAUGUGAAAUCCCACGGCUCAACCGUGGAAGGUCAUUGGAAACUGGGGGACUUGAGUACAGAAGAGGAAAGCGGAAUUCCAAGUGUAGCGGGUGAAAUGCGUAGAGAUUUGGAAGGAACACCAGUGGCGAAGGCGGCUUUCUGGUCUGUAACUGACGCUGAGGCGCGAAAGCCGUGGGGAGCAAACAG